rnacentral:rRNA from 1 species
ACGGGUGAGUAAUGUCUGGGAAACUGCCUGAUGGAGGGGGAUAACUACUGGAAACGGUAGCUAAUACCGCAUAACGUCGCAAGACCGAAGAGGGGGACCUUCGGGCCUCUUGCCAUCAGAUGUGCCCAGAUGGGAUUAGCUAGUAGGUGGGGUAACGGCUCACCUAGGCGACGAUCCCUAGCUGGUCUGAGAGGAUGACCAGCCACACUGGAACUGAGACACGGUCCAGACUCCUACGGGAGGCAGCAUG